rnacentral:rRNA from 1 species
UGCAGAAUCCCGUGAACCAUCGAGUCUUUGAGCGCAAGUUGCGCCCGAAGCCUCUAGGCCGAGGGCACGCCUGCCUGGGCGUCA